rnacentral:rRNA from 1 species
AUACCUACGGGGGGCAGCAGUGGGGAAUAUUGCACAAUGGGGGGAACCCUGAUGCAGCGACGCCGCGUGAGGGAUGAAGGUCUUCGGAUCGUAAACCUCUGUCAGCAGGGAAGAACGGUCACUGUGCUAAUCAGCAGUGAAUUGACGGUACCUGCAAAGGAAGCACCGGCUAACUCCGUGCCAGCAGCCGCGGUAAUACGGAGGGUGCGAGCGUUAAUCGGAAUUACUGGGCGUAAAGCGCUCGUAGGCGGGAUGUCAAGUCAAGGGGGAAAUCCCCGCGCUCAACGUGGGAACUGCCGUUGAAA